ensembl:lncRNA
GGGUGCCUCUCUUUUGUGAUUUCUUUAGUGAAAUAAAUCCUUGUGGCCUGGGGUGUUGGGGUCUAGGAAGCAUAGAUUCAAAGAGGUCUCUAGGUGGAAGAAGGAUUUGGGCAAGGAGAUAAGAACAUUGAUAAACCAGAUCACACAGGGGAAUGUAACCUUCUGACCCUCCAGUCUCCAAAAACACAGAGCAGUUAGCUUCAGGCAAGUCCUCCUCUUCCAGAAAGCCCACCAGGACUGCUGUCAGCAGUGUGGCUUGCAGCUGUCAAGCUACAGGAAAACCUCUUGGUUCUGUGCUGUGGGUAUGGGAGAGGGCUUGGAUGAGAAGAAGCUGGGUUAGGGAUAGGGCCAGGGUGGCUGCACGGGGAAGUGAUGGACAGAACAAGGGGCUUAUAGGCCCUGUGCGAGCCUGGCCCACAGCAGGUGGGAGGUAUUUUUAGGUAGGCUCGGGUGCAGACAGAGACAUUACGCCAUGGCCCGACAGGUGGUUAAUAUUUAAUCCCUUCCUUAAUCAUUAACUCCAUGGCUGGCUGGAGAGGAACAGGACUGUUGUCAAAUCAGUAACCACAGGCUGGGAACAAUGUCCACUGAGCUCGCGGCCCCUCCUGCAGCUGGGAGUGCUGGCUGGGUGGGGUUGUCCCUGGCCGUGGGGUCCCUGGUUCAUCUCCUUCCAGCAGUGACCUCAGGAUGCAGAGAAGUUACAAGAGGCAGAUGCUUUACCGUCUGAGCCACGAGGGAAGCCCCUGGGACAUGGUGAGUGCUAAAUCCAUUUAAAGGAGAAUUAGUUUCUGACUCGAGUAUUCAGGGAAGCUUCCUGGAGGAACAUUCCAGCUGGCCCUUUAGGGACCAGCAGGGUUGCCAUAGAUCUAGAUGAGGGAAAGGUGUCUCUUUCCUAAAGAGGGGCUGGAGUAAGCAGAAGCCAGAAAGGACAUGGCAUGUUUGGGAACCAUGAGGAAUUUUGUGUGGCCAUAUCCACUGCCUGGAGGAUGGACAUAGGAGUGGUGGGUGGGGUUGGGACUAGUCAGGGAAGGUUUGGAAUGUCCAGUUAUCCUGGAGCAAUGGAAACUCAGAAAGGCUGGUAAGUGCGACCCUGACAACACUUAAGGCUGAGUUCUGGCAGCGAAGAGCAGGUUUUGUUGCCAGGGAAAAACCCAGGCAGGAGGACUGCUGGGGGUAGGAGCCCUGAAGGAGGCAGGUCUCAAGACCCUGGGCUUGGGUGACUUGGGAGGAUGGCCUGAGACCACUGGGGACGUGGGGGUGCUGAAUCUUCAUCUGUGUGUCUUUCACCCUGCUUAGACUCAGAGUGUAAGUUUGAGUCCAUGGAGCUCCAUCGCAGAAGCCUUCGGGCACGUUCUCUGAAACUCUUACAGUCCGUGCAUUCUAUAGGUCUGGCCCAGAAACCUUGGGCAAGUCACAGCAUUUGUCUUGCUUCCAUUUUCCCAUCCGUCAUGUGAGUAUAGGUAUUCCUGUCCACCCUGGGAUAUAGAAGCCCCAGGGGGAUGCUUUGCUGCUUUUCUGGCCAAGGUCAGGCAAGCAAGAAGGUUCAGGGCAGUGUAAGACCCAGGCCACAGCUUCCCCUCUGUCUUGUCGGGGUGGCCCCUCAGCUUAUCUGCGUCAGGGCAGAUGGAUGAGGAGGAGAUACUCCUUCAGGCAGCCAGAUAGUGUGAGGAGGUGAUAAAGGGCACAGGCCCAGAAACCGACUUAGAGAGGGUGGGACAGUGAGGCUG